GAUGAACGCUGGCGGCGUGCCUAACACAUGCAAGUCGAGCGAACAGACGAGGCGUUUGCUCGUCUAACGUUAGCGGCAGACGGGUGAGAAACACGUGGAUACCCUCCCUAUCAGACUGGUAAAAUUUCGGGAAACCGGCGCUUAUACGGUAUGAUCUACUGAACCGCAGGGGGCAAUAGUGAAAUACGGCUUUUGGGGCACUACUCGCGGGAUCCCAGCCGCAUUAGCUGGUUGUUGAGGUAACAGCUUAUCAAGGCAACGAUGCGUAGCCGAGGUGAGAGGGUGGUCGCCCACACUGGAAGGGAGACAGCGUCCAGGCUCCUGCGAGAGGCCGCAGUAGGGAAUGUUCCGCAAUAGGCGGAAACAUGACAGAGCGACGCGACGUGAGUGAUGAAGAUCUUCGGAUCGUAAAACUCUGUUAUUGGGGGAAAACAAAUGUGUAAUUAAAUGAGCACGUCGUGACGGUACCUGAUCAGAAAGCACCGGCUAACUACGUG
rnacentral:rRNA from 1 species